CAGGCAGCUUCCUCUCUGGGCAAAAUCUUGUCUUGGCUGAGGUGGGGGGUAAGGGUGCUGAGGUUGGGAGCAGAAUGACCGUCUCUGAGUCUGGGGUGUAUG